AAACAUCAAGUGUCCCUGCACCGAGGGAGGAGAUUCACCAGUCAGCCAUUGUCCCUGCACAGAGGGAGGGGGUUCUCCGAGCAGCUAGCAUCACUGCGCAGAGGGAGGAGAUCCUCAGAGCAUCAGGCCUUAUCCCUGCACAUAGGAAGGGGCUCCUCCGAGCAUCAGGCCUCAUCCCUGCACAGAGGGAGGGGAUUCUUCCAGCAGCUUCUUCCAUCAGCUACUAUCAGAAUAAUAAGCUCCUCAGAGCAUCACAACUCACCCCUGCACAAAGGAAGUUGAGAUUCCUGAUAGCCAGUGUCACUGCGCAGAGGAAGGGAAUCUUCCCAAAGGCCAGCGUCCCUGCGCACAGGGAGUGGAUCGUCCCAAAGGCUAGUGUCCCUGCAGAGAGGGAGGAGAUCCUCCUCACAGCCAGUGUCCCUGUGAAGAAUGAAAACAAUCAUCCACAACCACCUCCCAUCAUCCCCAUGGUGGCACCACUGUGGAAAUGGGAUGGUGGAGCGUGUCCUCCACCUGUGGAUUUCUAUUCCAAGAGAAGAGAUUGUCUGGGAUCCAACUCUGCACAGAUGGGUUAACAAAACUGAGCCCAAGGCUGAGAACAAGUGUGUACCACCACCUCCACCGAUGGGGACAUAUGGAUAUCAGGGGAACACUGGCAGUGUCCCCAAAGGAGUGAAUCCUUACUCUAUGAAAGCAGCAGGUCUAUGGGGCAGCAGAUACCCUACAAUGAAUUACAAUGAUAGGACCAACUCAAAGCCUCCAAGCCAUGGGCCUGGACUGCUUCCUAGACAGCUCUCUGGCUUGCUCCCUCCUUCACACUUUGACCUCAUGGCACCAAUGGUUGUGCCACCUGACACUCUACCCUACUGAGGUGCGAGGGCCAUCCUGUGCCACCAGUCAAUUGAUGGUGGAUGACCUUCUGACCCCGUGCUCGCCAGGUGACCCGGCUGCCAUAGAAUUGACCUGGAUGGAUGUGCCUAGCGACAAGCUGCUGUAGCCCAUCUGCAUGUCCGACAUGCUGCCCUCACUAUAUACCACGCAACCCACAGUCAACAUGGAGGUCUUGUUCAAGGUCAGGAAGUUCACAGAGGACUUAGAACAGGAGGGUUGAGAGCUCCUGGGUGGCAGGGGCUUUACUACUUCUUACUCAGUCUCUCCUAUCAAGACCCAACUCCAGUCAAAGAGUAGCUACAGUAUUACAGCAGUAUUACAACACUACGAACCUGCAUUGGCAAGAAUGAUGGAGCAUUUUAAUUUACACACAAUUGUGCAAUGGAAAUGUUUUUUUUUUUGCAUAUCCCAACUCCCCCUGAGACACCCACAAGUGCCUUGCUCAAGGGCACAGCGACAUUAUUAUUUAUUUUCCCACUUUGUCGGCUACGGAAUUUGAGCCAGCAACCUUUCGGUAACUGGCCCAAUGAUCUAAUCUUGAGGCUACGUGCCGCCACUUAGAAUGUAGGGUGACUCCCCUAGUGGGUCCUGAACCCAGGUCAGCAGCACUACAUUGCUGUGUGUCUGUAUAGUUGAGGGUAUAUUGGUUUAGUAAUACUCAUUCCAGUUCUGGUCCCAGAGGGGAUCUCAAUACUGUUACACGUAGCCAUGAUCACCAAGCUACCCUUACUUAAUUAAA